CAUGAUCAUAAUGAUAUAAGUAGACUCAAUUUCAUUACAAAGGAGUAUUGCAGUAAGGGCACUCACAGUUCCUCCAUAUCUUAUUAACUUAUUUCAGUUGCAUUCGAAUAUUUUUAUUUGCUUGAUAGACUUUUUUAUGUAUUUUACAUAAGCAUGUAGGGACAUUAGCUUCAAAAAUACAAACCAGAACCCGAAAAUGUCUUUACAGUGGUUUACAAAAUUGACAAGUUGAGAAAAUUUAAAGUUCUGAUUUCACUUUUUAGCUCACCUGUCCUAACACUUGGCAUCUGUCGUCGUCUGCUGUAAACUUUUUCAAAGAUCUUCUUCUCUGAAACUGCUGAACUAAUUUCAACCAAACCCAAGGAAAAUGAUCCUUAGGGUAUCUAGUAUAAAUUUUGUGAUUUUUAUUCAUUUUCAUCAAGAACCAUGGCCACCAUGGCUAAAAAUAGAACAUAGAGGUAAAAUG
rnacentral:lncRNA from 1 species